AUGGAUCUGACCCGCACCAUCAACCAUACUUCGACGCCCACUUCACCGAGGCAUCACCGCCGGCACCUCACACGUAGGUGGUCGGGCGCCCGCUGCUCGCCAGGGCCCUGCCUAACUGAGCCUCACGGCGCCGCCGCCUCCAUGGCUGCGCAAGCGCUGCCGCCUCCGACGAAAUCAGUGCACCACCCACAUCCACUCUCCCGCUGCACCCCUCGUGCAGAUCCAGGGGAGCGCCGUCGAGCAUCCCGCCAUGAACCAGCCUCCAGCAGCACCCGACCGGGAGCCAUCCGACGCGCCAGAUCUGACCUGACCUGA
rnacentral:rRNA from 1 species